rnacentral:rRNA from 1 species
CUGUUUCCAUUGGCUUGAGGGCUGUUGUUUUGAGGUUUGUCGGUAGGUGUUGUACCUUUUGCAUCAUGAUUCACUGAGGUUUUCUUUUUAUUAGGGGGUUUCUCGAAGGGUGGCGAUUUCUUUCCAACCUGCUUUGAUCUGAAUGUCUUACAGGUUGUUAGGUAUUAGAGUUGGGGGGUGUUGUGAUAAAUAGUUCGUGCUAUCCUAUAACUAGUUUGUUGUUUUCCUUUUCGUUUGUACCUCUCUUGUCUGGAUAUGAGGGAGGGGGUAAGAAGCGGUUCUUUGUUUUGGGCUGGAUAUAGGUUGAGAGUACCUCGAUUUUUCUGGUGUGUUAAAACUAGCUUUUUUGAAUGGGUUGCUUUUGUUGUUGGUUUACAAUCUUUUAAUUAUGUUUUAGGAGUGUGGUGGAAUAAGUAGUUUGAUUAGUCUCCUUUUUUCUCGGAUCCCUUCGAUCUGUUUAUUAAAAACAUUUCCAUUAUUAAGGUUUAAUGGUAGUGCCUGCCCGAUGCUUUUGGUGAAUGGCCGCAGUAUUUUGACUGUGCUAAGGUAGCAUAAUUAGUUGCCCUAUAAUUGAGGGAUUGUUUGAAAGGUUUGAUUAGGGGGGUGUAGUUGUUCUAGAUGGAGGCUUUUUUCGAAAUUGGUUUUUUGGUGCAGAACCCAAAGAUGAUGAGUAAGACGGAAAGACCCCGAGAGCUUGGAUUUAUUUUUUACCUGGGGCGGGGGUAUAUGAUUCAUGUAUUUUUUGAUCCUCUGUGGGAUUGUAGGGAUAAGUUACCUCGGGGAUAACUAGGUAAGAAACAAGGAGAGGUCCUAUUGAUUUGUUUGGUUGCCAUCUCGAUGUUGGUUUGGGGUAGCGAAAAGGCGCAGCAGCCUUUUCGUUGGGUCUGUUCGACCAUAGUUCCCCAUGAGCUGAGUUAAGACCGGCGUAAGCCAGGUCGGUUCUUAUCUGCUUGGGCUGUGUUCUAGUACGAGAGGAUUGUUCACGGUUUAUGUU